rnacentral:rRNA from 1 species
UACAGAGGUGGCAAGCGUUGUUCGGAAUUACUGGGCGUAAAGGGCGCGUAGGCGGUUCGUUAAGUCCUGUGUGAAAUCCCCCGGCUCAACUGGGGGAACUGCACAGGAAACUAGCGGGCUUGAGUUCGGGAGAGGGAAGCGGAAUUCCGGGUGUAGCGGUGAAAUGCGUAGAUAUCCGGAGGAACACCGGUGGCGAAGGCGGCUCCU